rnacentral:rRNA from 1 species
ACUCAAAGGAAUUGACGGGGGCCCGCACAAGCGGUGGAGCAUGUGGUUCAAUUCGACGCAACGCGCAGAACCUUACCUGGGCUUGACAUCCUCGGAACCUGCCAGAGAUGGUGGGGUGCUCGCAAGAGAGCCGAGAGACAGGUGCUGCAUGGCUGUCGUCAGCUCGUGUCGUGAGAUGUUGGGUUAAGUCCCGCAACGAGCGCAACCCUCGCCAUUAGUUGCCAUCAUUCAGUUGGGCACUCUAAUGGGACUGCCGAUGUUAAAUCGGAGGAAGGUGGGGAUGACGUCAAGUCCUCAUGGCCUUUAUGCCCAGGGCUACACACGUGCUACAAUGGUCGGUACAAAGCGUUGCUAACCCGCGAGGGGGAGCCAAUCGCAUAAAACCGACCUCAGUUUGGAUUGAAGUCUGCAACUCGACUUCAUGAAAGAGGAAUCGCUAGUAAUCGCAGAUCAGCACGCUGCGGUGAAUACGUUCCCGGGCCUUGUACACACCGCCCGU